rnacentral:rRNA from 1 species
UACAGAGGUCUCGAGCGUUGUUCGGAUUCAUUGGGCGUAAAGGGUGCGUAGGUGGCGCUGUAAGUCGGGUGUGAAAUCCUGAGGCUUAACCUCGGAACUGCAUUCGAUACUGCGGCGCUUGAGGACUGGAGAGGAGACUGGAAUUCAUGGUGUAGCAGUGAAAUGCGCAGAUAUCAGGAGGAACACCGGUGGCGAAGGCGGGUCUCUGGGCCGAUACUGACGCUGAGGAGCGAAAGCGUGGGGAGCGAACAGG